rnacentral:rRNA from 1 species
AAGCUCGUAGUUGAAUUUCGGGAUUAGUAGGUUGGUCAUACCUCUGGUAUGUACUGGUCUCACUGAUUCCUCCUUCCUUAUGAACCGUAAUGCCAUUAAUUUGGUGUUGCGGGGGAAUUUGGACUGUUACUUUGAAAAAACUUAGAGUGUUUAAAAGCAGGCUAACGCUUGAAUACACUAGCAUGGAACCUAAUGAAAUAGGACGUUCGAUCUUAUUUUGUUGGUUUCUAGGAUUGACGUAAUGAUAAUAGGGAUAGUUGGG